rnacentral:rRNA from 1 species
GCGGGGGCUUCACCGCCUACCAAUUCCUGACAAACUCCGAAUGCUAUAAAAUGUUGUUGAGCAGUGAGGGCAUGGGUGCUAAGGUCCAUGUCCGAGAGGGAAAGAACCCAGACCAUCAGCUAAGGUCCCAAAAUAUAUGUUAAGUUGAAUAAACGAGGUGAAACUGCUUAGACAGCUAGGAUGUUGGCUUGGAAGCAGCCAUUCAUUUAAAGAGUGCGUAACAGCUCACUAGUCGAGCGGUCCGGCGUGGAUAAUAAUCGGGCAUAAGUAUACUACCGAAGCAAUGGACAUGAAAAUGUGGUAGGGGAGCAUUCUAGUUGCGCCGAAGGUGAAUCGUGAGGUUUGCUGGAGCGGCUAGAAAAGAAAAUGUAGGAAUGAGUAACGAUAAAGCGGGUGAGAAACCCGCUCGCCGAAAAUCUAAGGUUUCCUCAGCUAUGCUAAUCAGCUGAGGGUUAGUCGCGACCUAAGGCGAACCCGAACGGGGUAGUCGAUGGACAACAGGUUAAUAUUCCUGUACUUGUUUAUACUGCGAUGGGGUGACGAUGUACUGAAAGCACCGCGCACUGACGGAAUAGUGCGUUGAAGACUGUAUCUAUAGGACCUGUAGGCAAAUCCGCAGGACCUGGAGAAGGUCGAUAGUACCGAGAGUCUUCGGACAAUCGGAUAGUGUGCCUAAAAACAUCCAAGAAAAACCUCUAAGCUUCAGGUAUAAACAACGCGUACCGUAAACCGACACAGGUAGAUGGGAUGAGAAUUCUAAGGCGCUCGAGUGAUUCAUGGCUAAGGAACUAGGCAAAAUAGUCCCGUAACUUCGGGAGAAGGGACGCCCCCUUAUGGGGGGCCGCAGUGAAAAGGCCCAGGCGACUGUUUAUCAAAAACACAGGACUCUGCUAAAUCGAAAGAUGAUGUAUAGGGUCUGACACCUGCCCGGUGCUGGAAGGUUAAGAGGAGAUGUUAGCUUCGGCGAAGCAUUGAAUUGAAGCCCCAGUAAACGGCGGCCGUAACUAUAACGGUCCUAAGGUAGCGAAAUUCCUUGUCGGGUAAGUUCCGACCUGCACGAAUGGUGUAACGAUCUGGGCACUGUCUCAGCCAUGAGCUCGGUGAAAUUGUAGUAUCGGUGAAGAUGCCGAUUACCCGCAGCGGGACGAAAAGACCCCGUGAACCUUCACUACAACUUUGUAUUGACAUUGGACAAGAGAUGUGUAGGAUAGGUGGGAGACUUUGAAGCGUUGUCGCUAGGCAGCGUGGAGUCAACCUUGAAAUACCACCCUUCGCUUGUUUGAUGCCUAACCCCGCAAGGGGGACAGUGCAUGGUGGGUAGUUUGACUGGGGUGGUCGCCUCCAAAAGAGUAACGGAGGCUUUCAAAGGUAUCCUCAGUACGCUUGGUAACCGUACGUAGAGUGCAAUGGCACAAGGAUGCUUGACUGUGAGACUAACAAGUCGAGCAGGUACGAAAGUAGGACAUAGUGAUCCGGUGGUUCCGCAUGGAAGGGCCAUCGCUCAAAGGAUAAAAGGUACUCCGGGGAUAACAGGCUGAUCUCCCCCAAGAGCUCACAUCGACGGGGGGGUUUGGCACCUCGAUGUCGGCUCGUCACAUCCUGGGGCUGGAGAAGGUCCCAAGGGUUGGGCUGUUCGCCCAUUAAAGUGGCACGCGAGCUGGGUUCAGAACGUCGCGAGACAGUUCGGUCUCUAUCUGCUGUGGGCGUUGGAAAUUUGAGAGGAGCUGACUUUAGUACGAGAGGACCGAGUUGGACAGCCCUCUAGUGUACCUGUUGUUUCGCCAGAAGCAUUGCAGGGUAGCUACGGCUGGUUGGGAUAAGCACUGAAAGCAUAUAAGUGCGAAGCCCACCUCAAGAUGAGAUUUCCCUUAAGGGUCGUUCGAGAUGAGGACGUUGAUAGGCUUCAGGUGUAAAGGCAGUAAUGUCAUAGCCGAGAAGUACUAAUUACCCGUGGCUUUCUAAG